rnacentral:rRNA from 1 species
UACGUAGGGUGCAAGCGUUGUCCGGAAUUAUUGGGCGUAAAGGGCUCGUAGGCGGUCCAUCGCGUCGGGAGUGAAAAGCUGGGGCUUAACCCCAGUCCUGCUUCCGAUACGGGUGGACUAGAGGUAGGUAGGGGAGAACGGAAUUCCUGGUGUAGCGGUGAAAUGCGCAGAUAUCAGGAGGAACACCAGUGGCGAAGGCGGCACUCUGGGCCGGUACUGACGCUGAGGAGCGAAAGCGUGGGGAGCGAACAGG